UCAGACGAUGCGUCAUGCAUAUCAAUAAGGGAGGAAAAGAAACUAACUAGGAUUCCCUCAGUAACGGCGAGUGAAGCGGGAAGAGCUCAAAUUUGAAAUCUUCAAGGUUUGACCUUGACGAAUUGUAGUUUAAAGAAGUGUUUUCGGUUAGAGGAGUUUGGUAAAAGUUCUUUGGAAUAGGACAUCAUAGAGGGUGAGAAUCCCGUAUUUGACCAUUAUCUCCAGCUUUGUGAUACACUUUCAAAGAGUCGGAUUGUUUGGGAAUGCAGUCCAAAAUGGGUGGUAAAUUUCAUCUAAAGCUAAAUAUUGGCGAGAGACUGAUAGCGAACAAGUACCGUGAGGGAAAGAUGAAAAGAACUUUGAAAAGAGAGUUAAACAGUACGUGAAAUUGUCAAAAGGGAAGCGUUUGACACCAGUGUUGUUUUCUCGAAAAUCAAUUAAAAAGAGUUGGAUUUUGUGUUGUAUUGACCUUAACAGCUUGCUUCACUCUUUUCCUGCUUUUUUUAAUGCACUUUUCGUUUAACAAGUCAACAUCAGUUUCUUUUGUUGUAAAAGGGUCAUUGGAAGGUGGCUUUCUCUUCGGAGAAAGUGUUUAUAGCCUUUGAUCUCUGCAAUCGGAGAGACUGAGGUCUGCAGCGUAGAUCCUUCGGGGUUAGAUACAUUUGUGCUAAGCUACAGCUUUUCAUAGACAACUUGUUGACUAUGUUUAGUCUUGUAACUUAUCCGCUUAUGCUAUUUUACCUACGCUUAGGAUGUUGAUAUGCAUGACUGAUAU
rnacentral:rRNA from 1 species